UCCGCCCGCUGGCGGCGUGCUUAACACAUGCAAGUCGAACGGAAAGGCCCUGCUUUUGUGGGGUGCUCGAGUGGCGAACGGGUGAGUAACACGUGAGUAACCUGCCCUUGACUUUGGGAUAACUUCAGGAAACUGGGGCUAAUACCGGAUAGGAGCUCCUGCUGCAUGGUGGGGGUUGGAAAGUUUCGGCGGUUGGGGAUGGACUCGCGGCUUAUCAGCUUGUUGGUGGGGUAGUGGCUUACCAAGGCUUUGACGGGUAGCCGGCCUGAGAGGGUGACCGGCCACAUUGGGACUGAGAUACGGCCCAGACUCCUACGGGAGGCAGCAGUGGGGAAUAUUGCACAAUGGGCGGAAGCCUGAUGCAGCAACGCCGCGUGCGGGAUGACGGCCUUCGGGUUGUAACCCGCUUUCGCCUGUGACGAAGCGUGAGUGACGGUAAUGGGUAAAGAAGCACCGGCUAACUACGUG
rnacentral:rRNA from 1 species